GCAAAGGUAGCAUAGUCAUUAGUUCUUUAAUUGUGAUCUGGUAUGAAUGGCUUGACGAGGCAUGGGCUGUCUUAAUUUUGAAUUGUUUAUUGAAUUUGGUCUUUGAGUUAAAAUUCUUAGAUGUUUUUAUGGGACGAGAAGACCCUAUAGAGUUUAACAUUUGCUAUGGUCCCCUUUUGUUUGUGAGGGUUCACUGGGCCAUUUAAUAUGUUUUGUUGGGGUGAUGGGAGGGAUUAAUUUAACCCCUCCUUUUUAUUAUUAUAUUUAUUUAUAUUUACUUGAUCCAUUUAUUUUGAUUGUAAGAUUAAAUUACCUUAGGGAUAACAGCGUUAUCUUCCUUGAGAGUUCUUAUCGGCAGGGGGGUUUGCG
rnacentral:rRNA from 1 species